AGAGUUUGAUCCUGGCUCAGGAUGAACGCUGGCGGCGUGCUUAACACAUGCAAGUCGAACGAAGAUACUUAAAAUGAGAGCUUCGGCAGGAUUUUUAUUUAUCUUAGUGGCGGACGGGUGAGUAACGUGUGGGCAACCUGCCCUAUACUGGGGAAUAAUCACUGGAAACGGUGACUAAUACCGCAUGUCAUUACGGAAGGGCAUCCUUCUGUAAGAAAAGGAGUAAUUCGGUAUAGGAUGGGCCCGCAUCUGAUUAGCUAGUUGGUGAGAUAACAGCCCACCAAGGCGACGAUCAGUAGCCGACCUGAGAGGGUGAUCGGCCACAUUGGGACUGAGACACGGCCCAAACUCCUACGGGAGGCAGCAGUGGGGAAUAUUGCACAAUGGGGGAAACCCUGAUGCAGCAACGCCGCGUGAAGGAAGAAGGUUUUCGGAUCGUAAACUUCUAUCAACAGGGACGAAGAAAGUGACGGUACCUGAAUAAGAAGCCCCGGCAACUACGUGCCAGCAGCCGCGGU
rnacentral:rRNA from 1 species